UUAAAGGUAAAGUAUUAGAUUGUGAUUCUAAAUUAUAUGGGUUCAAUUCCCAUUAUUC
rnacentral:tRNA from 1 species